rnacentral:rRNA from 1 species
UACGGAGGAUGCGAGCGUUAUCCGGAUUUAUUGGGUUUAAAGGGUGCGCAGGCGGAUUUUUAAGUCAGCGGUCAAAUCGAGGGGCUCAACCCCUUUAAGCCGUUGAAACUGGUGAUCUUGAGUGGGCGAGAAGUAUGCGGAAUGCGUGGUGUAGCGGUGAAAUGCAUAGAUAUCACGCAGAACCCCGAUUGCGAAGGCAGCCUGCUGGACUGUAACUGACGCUGAUGCUCGAAAGUGUGGGUAUCAAACAGG